ACUUAAAUAAUUUAAAAAUAAAAUAUUGAUUUGUGGCGUCAAAAAUAUGAAUUUUCAUUUUAGGUU
rnacentral:tRNA from 1 species